GAACGCUGUUUUUUAAAUAAAGAAUAUUAAAAAAGCAUCAGACUUUUAAUCUGAGGGUCGUGGGUUCAAGUCCCACGGUGGGCG